UGUUGCAGGGAUUUAGAUCCAUUUUCCAGGCGAAGAUACAAACAGUUAAUUCACAGAUAUAUGUUGGAUGUGACCCGUAUCUCAUCAAGAUGAGUGAGUUUUCGAGAGAACCUCAAGAUUUGCCUUUAAUCGAGGCUGUUGAUAUCACAAACUAUCUGGCACUUCAAACGUCUUACUACACUAAACAGCAGAUGAAAGCCUACAAAAGUCUGGAGGCAUAACACUUUUUUGUCAGCGGGUGGGUCCAGAACCUCGGCACCAAACGGCUCCGCGAUAAUUAUCGUUUGGUCUUUGCCAAGAACAUCUCAAGCUCCAUUAGUUUGGAUGGGAGACGUAUGUGCAGCCAUUUUCAGAUCUCUCCAGACACGUUCAAUUGGAUUGAAGUUGGACUCUGGCUUCGCCACUCCAGGACAUUCACAGAGUGGUUCUGAACCCACUCAUUUGAGAUCUUAGCAGUGUGCUUUGGGUCGUUGUCCUGCUGAAAAAUGAACGUAUCGCCCCAGUCUGAGGUCAAGAUCGCUCUGAAGCAGGUCUUCAUCCAGAAUGUCUCUGCAUUUAUCUUCCCUCUGUCCUAAAUAGUCUGACAGUUCCUGCUGCCAUGAAACAUUCCCAUACCAUGAUGCUGCUACCACCAUGCUUCACUGUAGGGAUGGUAUUGGCCUGGUGAUGAGUGGUGCCGGGUUUCCUCCAAACAUGACACCUGGGAUUCACACCAAAGAGUUCAUCAGACCAGAGGUCUGAGAGUCCUUCAGAGGAAGGCUGGAGCUCUGACAGAGUGACCAUGGGGUUCCUCAUCACCUUCUGGACUAAGGCUCUUCUCCCCCGAUCGCUCAGCUUUGACAGCCGGCCAGUUCUAGGAAGAGUCCUGGUGGUUCCAAACUUGUUCCAUUUCCAAAUGAUGGAGGCCACUGUACUCAUUGGGACUUUCAAAGCAAGAAAAGGACGUUGACACUCAGCUGCCCCCUUACUCCCUCUCCCCACCAAUGAUAGCAGCUUGAUCUGGCAGGAAUCCAUUUGCAACCUCAUCACUUUCCCCCAGCCUGAACAAUGGAGCUGAUUGUUCCAGCCACCCGUUUAAUGGAGAAGGCCCAAGUAAACCUGGCCUCUUACCCCUGGCUGCCUGUGUAUCUUUUCUAUCGGGGCUACGACUUGAGACGGGGGGUAGACCUUAAAAAAGAGACCCCCCCCUCAUCGCCACCUCCCUUUCCCAGCUCUGUAGGACAUCAACGGGCUCCAGUUGUAGCAAAUUUGUUCCCCCAGCUCUCUUUAAUUGACCAACUUUGGCACUAACAAGGUGCUGAUUAAGCUCAAUAACAGCAACGUCUGACGUGCGGUCCGUACUACAUCUUGGAACUCAACCGGUAGCUUUGCUGUCACUGUCUUUAUCAUUUUUAGAUGAAGCAUUUUCUCUCUUUGGCUUGAUGGAGCUGCUUGCUAACAGAGUUAGGGUUUGCAGAGAAAGGAAAACGGCAGCCGCAGAAAUAGAGGCAAUUAUCUUGAGUUAGAGAGAAGGGGCAGCCAUUGAUGGAAGCAGUUGAACCUGGCGUGUCUUUAUAUCUGCUUGAUGAAUGUGAUGUUUGCCCACCGCAAUUAGACAGGAUUGUUUACUAUAUAACCUUGUAAUCAACCUGGCUUGGUUGACAGCUCACCAUUACCCCAUGAUAACAGGUCUGCCACAAUUUGGCCUCUAAAAGAAAAUAUUUAUUAAAAGGAAAAACACGGACAAGCUUCUUCGUCUGUUUUUGAUGUUUUAUUG